rnacentral:rRNA from 1 species
GGGUUGUGAGGUUAAGCGACUAAGCGUACACGGUGGAUGCCCUGGCAGUCAGAGGCGAUGAAGGACGUGCUAAUCUGCGAUAAGCGUCGGUAAGGUGAUAUGAACCGUUAUAACCGGCGAUUUCCGAAUGGGGAAACCCAGUGUGUUUCGACACACUAUCAUUAACUGAAUCCAUAGGUUAAUGAGGCGAACCGGGGGAACUGAAACAUCUAAGUACCCCGAGGAAAAGAAAUCAACCGAGAUUCCCCCAGUAGCGGCGAGCGAACGGGGAGCAGCCCAGAGCCUGAAUCAGUGUGUGUGUUAGUGGAAGCGUCUGGAAAGGCGCGCGAUACAGGGUGACAGCCCCGUACACAAAAAUACACAUACUGUGAGCUCGAUGAGUAGGGCGGGACACGUGGUAUCCUGUCUGAAUAUGGGGGGACCAUCCUCCAAGGCUAAAUACUCCUGACUGACCGAUAGUGAACCAGUACCGUGAGGGAAAGGCGAAAAGAACCCCGGCGAGGGGAGUGAAAAAGAACCUGAAACCGUGUACGUACAAGCAGUGGGAGCACGCUUAGGCGUGUGACUGCGUACCUUUUGUAUAAUGGGUCAGCGACUUAUAUUCUGUAGCAAGGUUAACCGAAUAGGGGAGCCGAAGGGAAACCGAGUCUUAACUGGGCGUUAAGUUGCAGGGUAUAGACCCGAAACCCGGUGAUCUAGCCAUGGGCAGGUUGAAGGUUGGGUAACACUAACUGGAGGACCGAACCGACUAAUGUUGAAAAAUUAGCGGAUGACUUGUGGCUGGGGGUGAAAGGCCAAUCAAACCGGGAGAUAGCUGGUUCUCCCCGAAAGCUAUUUAGGUAGCGCCUCGUGAAUUCAUCUC